GACGAACGCUGGCGGCGUGCUUAACACAUGCAAGUCGAACGGAAAGGCCCUGCUUUUGUGGGGUGCUCGAGUGGCGAACGGGUGAGUAACACGUGAGUAACCUGCCCUUGACUUUGGGAUAACUUCAGGAAACUGGGGCUAAUACCGGAUAGGAGCUCCUGCUGCAUGGUGGGGGUUGGAAAGUUUCGGCGGUUGGGGAUGGACUCGCGGCUUAUCAGCUUGUUGGUGGGGUAGUGGCUUACCAAGGCUUUGACGGGUAGCCGGCCUGAGAGGGUGACCGGCCACAUUGGGACUGAGAUACGGCCCAGACUCCUACGGGAGGCAGCAGUGGGGAAUAUUGCACAAUGGGCGGAAGCCUGAUGCAGCAACGCCGCGUGCGGGAUGACGGCCUUCGGGUUGUAAACCGCUUUCGCCUGUGACGAAGCGUGAGUGACGGUAAUGGGUAAAGAAGCACCGGCUAACUACGUGCCAGCAGCCGCGGUGAUACGUAGGGUGCGAGCGUUGUCCGGAUUUAUUGGGCGUAAAGGGCUCGUAGGUGGUUGAUCGCGUCGGAAGUGUAAUCUUGGGGCUUAACCCUGAGCGUGCUUUCGAUACGGGUUGACUUGAGGAAGGUAGGGGAGAAUGGAAUUCCUGGUGGAGCGGUGGAAUGCGCAGAUAUCAGGAGGAACACCAGUGGCGAAGGCGGUUCUCUGGGCCUUUCCUGACGCUGAGGAGCGAAAGCGUGGGGAGCGAACAGGCUUAGAUACCCUGGUAGUCCACGCUGUAAACGGUGGGUACUAGGUGUGGGGUCCAUUCCACGGGUUCCGUGCCGUAGCUAACGCUUUAAGUACCCCGCCUGGGGAGUACGGCCGCAAGGCUAAAACUCAAAGGAAUUGACGGGGCCCCGCACAAGCGGCGGAGCAUGCGGAUUAAUUCGAUGCAACGCGUAGAACCUUACCUGGGUUUGACAUGGAUCGGGAGUGCUCAGAGAUGGGUGUGCCUCUUUUGGGGUCGGUUCACAGGUGGUGCAUGGCUGUCGUCAGCUCGUGUCGUGAGAUGUUGGGUUAAGUCCCGCAACGAGCGCAACCCUUGUUCACUGUUGCCAGCACGUUAUGGUGGGGACUCAGUGGAGACCGCCGGGGUCAACUCGGAGGAAGGUGGGGAUGACGUCAAGUCAUCAUGCCCCUUAUGUCCAGGGCUUCACGCAUGCUACAAUGGCUGGUACAGAGAGUGGCGAGCCUGUGAGGGUGAGCGAAUCCCGGAAAGCCGGUCUCAGUUCGGAUUGGGGUCUGCAACUCGACCUCAUGAAGUCGGAGUCGCUAGUAAUCGCAGAUCAGCAACGCUACGGUGAAUACGUUCCCGGGGCU
rnacentral:rRNA from 1 species